AUACCCUAUUAUUAAAGAGCUUAAUAUUGUGAGUAAAUAAAAUAAACGAAAACAAAAAAUUAUGGCGGUACUUUAAGCUUUUCAGAGGAAUUUGCUCUGUAAUGGAUAAAACACCUAAAUCUUACUAAAAUUUGUUAAGUCAGUUUGUAUACCACUAUUAAAGUAAUAUUUAAUUAUUAUUACUUAAAACUUUUUUUAAAAAAAAUUUAAGUCAUGGUGCAGCUGAAAUUUUAGAAUGAAGUGAAUUACAAUUCUUUUUAGAUAUUUUUGAAAUUAAAGCUAGAUUUAGGAUUUGAAAGUAAAAAUUCAAUAGUAUGGUUUUUUGAAUAAAGUUCUGAAGUAUGUACAUAUCGCCCGUCGCUCUUUCA
rnacentral:rRNA from 1 species